UAAUGUCUGGGAAACUGCCUGAUGGAGGGGGAUAACUACUGGAAACGGUAGCUAAUACCGCAUAAUGUCGCAAGACCAAAGUGGGGGACCUUCGGGGCCUCAUGCCAUCAGAUGUGCCCAGAUGGGAUUAGCUAGUAGGUGGGGUAACGGCUCACCUAGGCGACGAUCCCUAGCUGGUCUGAGAGGAUGACCAGCCACACUGGAACUGAGACACGGUCCAG
rnacentral:rRNA from 1 species